CAAAGAAUAGUUUAUUUUAAAAUAUUAAUUUUGGAGAUUAAAGAUAAUUUUUAUUUUCUUUGA
rnacentral:tRNA from 1 species